AUGCUGGUGAGAGAGCUGGCAGUGUUAAACACACAGAUUUGCACAAUGGAGCAGCCCAUUAUUAUCUGUUUCACUCCUGCUAGGAGGAUGGUAUGGGAGGAACUGUCCUCUCAAAUUGAACAGGAAUUCAUUCAUAUGCAGGUACCUCAGAUGUUUCCUUACCCUUUGAACACAGGCAUGUGUAGUUCAACUGCCGAUUGUCUUAGAAUCUAUCAUGCAGUGGCCUCCUCAUGCAAUCCUCCUUAUACCAGUAUGUCAGUCCUAUACUGUAGGCUACCUGUUUAUCAUUCAAACGGACUCUUAAUUUGAUCGUGUCUUGUUCCUUAGUAUGUGGAUGAGGAGGUUGGUCAGUGGACCUGUCUGGCUUUAAUCCCUUGGUCUGGACCCUUUUAUGUUCCUAUCUCCACGAGUCUAUCCAUUCUGAUACUCUUUAGUCUUUAGAGGAUAUUAAACAUUAACAUCAAGUCACUCGUUUUCUAUUAAACAACAUAAUGAAAAUGUCUGUAAACAUAUUCCCUUGCCUUCAUAGCCUGCCUUCUCCAAGGCCAAACCAGUCUACUACCUCACCCUUGCUUGGAGAAUGCUAGUAACAGAGCUUGCAGUGUUAAACACACAGGUAACCAAACACAUUAUUAACCAAAGCUCAUCUGUUAUAGGGAGAAUUUACUUAGUUUGAUGGCUGUACCCUUUUACCUUUUCUUUCCACAGACUUCCAAUUUGGUUACGGAGGAGCCUACCCUUCACCUUACAGAAGCUGGGAGGCUAGUGCUUGACGAACUGUCAGCACCUUCAGAUUGCCAUUCACAGGUAGCUGUUAGCAGUUGAUGUUACUCUUCAAUCACACUGACCCCAAAUCAAAUAAAGGGGUGGAAAACAGGUUUAUUCUCAUUCAAAGAGGAUGAAUCAUGUGGGGAGGUAGAUGGUAGAUGUUCAUGCUCCCCUGUCCUCAGUGAUUCUCCCCAGUGAUUCUCUUCAGUGAUUAUCUCCACAGAACAAAGAAACAGGAUGUAAUUUAUAACCCCCCCACCCUAGCCUGAGGCUGACCAAUUAGAAGUCCUUGCAAAACAACUGGACCAAUGGCCAAAUAACAAGUAUCCUGCUCCAGACUCAGACCAAUGAAAACAUAGCACACAUAGCUAUGAGUUCAGGAUGUCACUCAUAGCUAUGUGUGCUAUGUUUUCAUUGGUCUGAGUCUGGAGCAGGAUACUUGUUAUUUGGCAAUUUGAAAAAUUUCUAAACAGAUGUUGACCUGAAAAACAACUAUUUCCAUUGAUCGUUAAUUCUAAUCCUCUCGUCCUCUGCGUUGUGUAUUUAUCUUCAACAUAUUCUUACAUAGCCAAUCACAUUAUUAGACAGUCAUAGAUGAUUAGUAAUAGUACACAUGAACAUGUCCUCUAUCGCCACAAUUUUGUAUCUUAUUAAUCACAGAGCAAUCUCUAAUAUUAGGUGAUGUUUUUUUUUUUGCAGCCAAAUAGUGAAGACUCCUUUUCCUUAUGGGAAAUUGCAGCUGGUUGGGAACUGGGGUUCGUUUCAUUUUCAUUACUGGAAGAUCCAUUAUGGAUGAGUGCUGGUACUUCAGCCAUAUUCUUAACAUUUCUAAACACAUCUGUGUAUUUGAACUCCCAAUUGUCUCUGGGGUUUCUUUUGUAUGUCUGGCCCUAAUUGAAACCUAGGGGAAACUUGUCGUACGAACAUCAUGCCAGGGAUUACACUGAAAUCGUCUGCCAAAUGAUAUGAACAUCUACAGCUAACAUAUAGAGAGAGGUCUGGAGUCUGAAGGCAUUUUUUCUUGUUAGCAAAAUGAAGAGGACAUGCAUCACCUGUGCAUUUUGAGUGUAGUGGAGAAGCAGCUGUGGUGGAGCAGAGUCAUUCAGGAAAAAAUCCUGGACCCAUGGGUGAGAGAUCCUCAACUGAUCUUUCCUCUGAAAUGCACCUGAUUUGUGUCAAAUGAUGCACAAACUAUAGGUCUACUUAUAUUUCCUGCCUGAAAUGUAAUGUUUCCCUGUGUCUCUUUUAAAGGGUCUCGUCCAGGUGGUCUUCAACAACAAGGAGGUGACUGGUAUUAAGGUGCAGUCAAGCACUUUUUCACUGAAUAAGUGGCAAAGGUCCAUUUACCUAUUUGCAUAAAUACAUGUUGACAGAAAAUGAAAUGAUACAUUCUAAUCUCUUGCCUCAUUUUUAUUACCUUGGUAGAAGGAGGAGGUCAGAGUUCACCUAUUAUGAGGACGCCCAGGUUUAUUUCAGAGUUUGGUUGGGGGGUUCUCAAUAUGGUGGUUUUCACAGUGUUGGGCUGGCAGUGUCACAUGUUGUGUGUUAAACAGCAGGUGGAUAUCUCCACCACGGUGGAGCGGUUCCAGGAGAUGAGAUGACGGCAUAUCAACUCUCCACCUC
rnacentral:lncRNA from 13 species